GCCCGGCUGGCGGAAUUGGUAGACGCGCUACAUUCAGGGUGUAGUGCCUGCAAGGGCGUGCAGGUUCGAGUCCUGCGCCGGGCAC
rnacentral:tRNA from 1 species